rnacentral:rRNA from 1 species
AGCAGCCGCGGUAAUUCCAGCUCCAAUAGCGUAUAUUAAAGUUGUUGCAGUUAAAAAGCUCGUAGUUGAAUUUCGAGAUCAAAUUGUUGGUCGUGCCUCGGUACGUACUGGCAUUAUUGAUUUCUCCCUUCUGAAGAACCUUGAUGUCAUUAAUUUGGUGUCUUGGGGAAUCAGGACCGUUACUUUGAAAAAAUUAGAGUGUUUAAAGCAGGCUCACGCUUGAAUACAUUAGCAUGGAAUAAUGAAAUAGGACGUUUGAUUCUAUUUUGUUGGUUUCUAGGAUCGACGUAAUGAUUAAUAGGGAUAGUUGGGGGCAUUAGUAUUCAAUUGUCAGAGGUGAAAUUCUUGGAUUUAUUGAAGACUAACUACUGCGAAAGCAUUUGCCAAGGAUGUUUUCAUUAAUCAAGAACGAAAGUUAGGGGAUCGAAGACGAUCAGAUACCGUCGUAGUCUUAACCAUAAACUAUGCCGACUAGGGAUCGGAUGAUGUUAAUUUUUAAUGUACUCAUUCGGCGCCUUAA